UACGUAGGCAGCGAGCGUUGUUCGGAGUUACUGGGCGUAAAGGGUGUGUAGGCGGUUGUUUAAGUUUGGUGUGAAAUCUCCCGGCUCAACUGGGAGGGUGCGCCGAAUACUGAGUGACUAGAGUGCGGGAGAGGAAAGUGGAAUUCCUGGUGUAGCGGUGAAAUGCGUAGAUAUCAGGAGGAACACCGGUGGUGUAGACGGCUUUCUGGACCGUAACUGACGCUGAGACGCGAAAGCGUGGGGAGCGAACAGG
rnacentral:rRNA from 1 species